GGGGAGGGUUGUUAUCAAGUCGUAAACGGUUAGUAACAGGACAAGCAGGUGUCAUGUUAUUUCCACGUGUGGUAACUGGUAUCAUGGCACACUGGAUUAUUGAAUGGAGUAUUUUAACAACGGAGAUAAAGGCUGUCCUCAGGUG